rnacentral:rRNA from 1 species
AUGAACGCUGGCGGCGUGCUUAACACCUGCAAGUCGCACGAUGAAGCCCAGCUUGCUGGGUGGAUUAGUGGCGAACGGGUGAGUAACACGUGAGUAACCUGCCCUUAACUCUGGGAUAAGCCUGGGAAACUGGGUCUAAUACCGGAUAGGAGCGUCCACCGCAUGGUGGGUGUUGGAAAGAUUUAUCGGUUUUGGAUGGACUCGCGGCCUAUCAGCUUGUUGGUGAGGUAAUGGCUCACCAAGGCGACGACGGGUAGCCGGCCUGAGAGGGUGACCGGCCACACUGGGACUGAGACACGGCCCAGACUCCUACGGGAGGCAGCAGUGGGGAAUAUUGCACAAUGGGCGCAAGCCUGAUGCAGCGACGCCGCGUGAGGGAUGACGGCCUUCGGGUUGUAAACCUCUUUCAGUAGGGAAGAAGCGAAAGUGACGGUACCUGCAGAAGAAGCACCGGCUAACUACGUG